rnacentral:rRNA from 1 species
AGAACGAACGCUGGCGGCAUGCCUAAUACAUGCAAGUCGAACGAACUCUUCGGAGUUAGUGGCGCACGGGUGCGUAACGCGUGGGAAUCUGCCCUUGGGUUCGGAAUAACAGUUGGAAACGACUGCUAAUACCGGAUGAUGACGAAAGUCCAAAGAUUUAUCGCCCAGGGAUGAGCCCGCGUAGGAUUAGCUAGUUGGUGAGGUAAAGGCUCACCAAGGCGACGAUCCUUAGCUGGUCUGAGAGGAUGAUCAGCCACACUGGGACUGAGACACGGCCCAGACUCCGUACGGGAGCAGCA